UUGUGCUGUGGGAAAAACAAAACAAAGAGACAGAAGAGUUAAAACUUUGCAGAGGCUUGUUUGAAACCUGACCAGUAAUGACCACAAUAAGCAGAGGUGCCCUCCACCCUCAGAAGGCCACUUUCUCUCUGAACACCAAGAAACAAGAACACGGAAUCCUGCCAGAGAUGAGACUGUCUGAAGGACAAAAGACAUGCUAAGUUGGUUUUGUUGUUAUGAGUUUCAAACUUAAGGUCCUGGCUCACUGAAAACUGCAUCUCCAUCCUCCUUCAUAACAUCUUCCCCGGCAUGUAUGGACACGAAGAGGUGCUCCUUGAGGGAUAUUAAUUGGAAUCCAUCCCUUACUUGUGAAACCUUCACCUCUGCGCUGGCCUCAGCCCUAGGGUGACCAGGAAAACAAGUGAAUAUCAUUCUCCAUCGAAUGGAAUUAAGUGCUCUCAUCUCAAAUGAGCCUCGAACUUCAGCAUAGUGUGGCCAUUUUCAGUUAGCAGCC